AUUACGCUAUUUGUAAACGUAAAAUGGCUUUAUCUUUCAUGGACAUCUUGAACAUACUUAAAGGAUAUACUUUACUUCCCUUUGUGCUAGUUUCUUAACACUUAUUUCAAUAUAUAAGGAUACAAGAUUCUUACUUCAUAUCAUUCAUUUGAUAAACUGUGUAGUGUGUUGUAUUGCAUUAUGUACUUAUUAUUUCGGAUGUCAUAUUAAGAAACGAAAUUUGAUGAAACCAUUGCUGGAUAAACACAAAGAUACGUUAUUUGGACGUUAAGCCAAAGAGGUACUUCGACAUGGGCAAUCAUGAAUCCAAACCGGAAUGGCGACCAUCUGAAUCAAAGAAUAAACCGGUAAGA